GAUUAAGUGGUCUAGUGAUUAAGGCACCAGCCUAGAAAAUGGGAGACCGUGAGUUCUAGUCCCACCUUAACCA
rnacentral:tRNA from 1 species